rfam:Myotis davidii contig201033, whole genome shotgun sequence.
CAUGCAUUGGUGGGGUCCCUUGGCCUGGCCUGCGCCCUCUCACAAUCUGGGACCCCUCGGGGGAUGUCGGAGAGCCAGUUUCAGCCCUAUCCCCGCAGGCCAGGCCAAGGGACCCCACCGAUGCAUG